rnacentral:rRNA from 1 species
GAUGAACGCUGGCGGCGUGCUUAACACAUGCAAGUCGAACGGAAAGGCUCCUGCUUGCAGGGGUACUCGAGUGGCGAACGGGUGAGUAACACGUGGGUGAUCUGCCCAGCACUUCGGGAUAAGCCUGGGAAACUGGGUCUAAUACCGGAUAGGACGAUGGUUUGGAUGCCAUUGUGGAAAGUUUUUUCGGUGUGGGAUGAGCUCGCGGCCUAUCAGCUUGUUGGUGGGGUAAUGGCCUACCAAGGCGUCGACGGGUAGCCGGCCUGAGAGGGUGUACGGCUAUAUUGGGACGGAAAUGCGGCUCCGUCUCCUGCGGGGGGCAGUGGUGGGGGUAUUUACAAAGUUGGGGCCGGCCUGUUGCAGAACCUCCGGGGGGGGGGUAACGGCGUUGGGGUUGGAAACUCUUUUCGCAGGGAAGGAAGGGCAAGAGGGGGACCCGGGAGAAGGAACACCGGCAAGCUACGU